UACGGGGGGGGCAAGCGUUGUUCGGAAUUACUGGGCGUAAAGGGCGCGUAGGCGGCCUGCUAAGUCGGAGGUGAAAUCCUGGAGCUCAACUCCAGAACUGCCUUCGAUACUGAGAGUCUUCGAGUUCGGGAGAGGUGAGUGGAACUGCGAGUGUAGAGGUGAAAUUCGUAGAUAUUCGCAAGAACACCAGUGGCGAAGGCGGCUCACUGGCCCGAUACUGACGCUGAGGUGCGAAAGCGUGGGGAGCAAACAGG
rnacentral:rRNA from 1 species